rnacentral:rRNA from 1 species
CCUACGGGUGGCAGCAGUGGGGAAUAUUGGGCAAUGGGCGCAAGCCUGACCCAGCAACGCCGCGUGAAGGAAGAAGGCCCUCGGGUUGUAAACUUCUUUUAUUCGGGACGAAACAAAUGACGGUACCGAAUGAAUAAGCCACGGCUAACUACGUGCCAGCAGCCGCGGUAAUACGUAGGUGGCAAGCGUUAUCCGGAUUUACUGGGUGUAAAGGGCGUGUAGGCGGGAAAGCAAGUCAGAUGUGAAAACUCAGGGCUCAACCCUGAGCCUGCAUUUGAAACUGUUUUUCUUGAGUGCUGGAGAGGCAAUCGGAAUUCCGUGUGUAGCGGUGAAAUGCGUAGAUAUACGGAGGAACACCAGUGGCGAAGGCGGAUUGCUGGACAGUAACUGACGCUGAGGCGCGAAAGCGUGGGGAGCAAACAGGAUUAGAUACCCUUGUAGUC